UCCUGGUUAACCCAGGCAGUCUCAUUAGAGUUCCCACCAUAACGUGUUGGCAAAUAAUGAUAAGGGUUGCGCUCGUUGCGGGACUUAACCCAACACCUCACGGCACGAGCUGACGACAGCCAUGCAGCACCUGUGCACUGGUCCCGAAGGAACGCAUCAUUUCUGAUGUUGUCCAGUGCAUGUCAAACCUGGGUAAGGUUCUUCGCGUUGCAUCGAAUUAAACCACAUGCUCCACUGCUUGUGCGGGUCCCCGUCAAUUCUUUUGAGUUUCAGCCUUGCGACUGUACUCCCCAGGCGGUAUACUUAUCGCGUUAGCUACGGCACAGCCGGGGUUGAAUCCAGCUACACCAAGUAUACAUCGUUUACGGCAAGGACUAC
rnacentral:misc_RNA from 1 species